GAUGAGAACGUAGCGAAAUGCGAUACGUAAUGUGAAUUGCAGAAUUCAGUGAAUCAUCGAAUCUUUGAACGCAUAUUGCGCUCUUUGGUAUUCCGAAGAGCAUGCUUGUUUGAGUAUCAGUAAACACCUCAACCUCUUCUUGAUUUUUCAAAAGGAGGGUGGACUUGAGCUAUCCCAACAACCUUUACCGGUCGGCGGGCGGCUUGAAAUGCAGGUGCAGCUGGACUUUUAUCUGAGCUAAAAGCAUAUCUAUUUAGUCCUCGUCAAACAGGAUUAUUACUUUUGCUGCAGCUAACAUAAAGGAUAAUUGUCCUCUUUGCUGACUGAUGCAGGAUUUUACGACACUUUAUGUGUUGUUCAACUCGAUCUCAAAUCAAGUAAGACUACCCGCUGAACUUAAGCAUAUCAAUAAGCGGAGGA
rnacentral:misc_RNA from 1 species